rnacentral:misc_RNA from 1 species
UUUCCGUAGGUGAACCUGCGGAAGGAUCAUUAAUGAGUUUGCACGGUUGCUGCUGGUUCUUACAAGUGCACGCCGUGUCUUUCUUAUCCACCCCACUGUGCAUCUCGGUACGCGUCUCUAAGACGUGUAGUCCUUUACACACAACCUAUUAUCAUGAGUUAGAACGUGCUUGUUGGAAUUAAAAUACAACUAUCAACAACGGAUCUCUUGGCAUCC